rnacentral:rRNA from 1 species
GAUGAACGCUGGCGGCGUGCCUAAUACAUGCAAGUCGAGCGAAUGGAUUAAGAGCUUGCUCUUAUGAAGUUAGCGGCGGACGGGUGAGUAACACGUGGGUAACCUGCCCAUAAGACUGGGAUAACUCCGGGAAACCGGGGCUAAUACCGGAUAACAUUUUGAACCGCAUGGCUCGAAAUUGAAAGGCGGCUUCGGCUGUCACUUAUGGAUGGACCCGCGUCGCAUUAGCUAGUUGGUGAGGUAACGGCUCACCAAGGCAACGAUGCGUAGCCGACCUGAGAGGGUGGACGGGCACACUGGGACUGGGACACGGCCCAGACUCCUACGGGAGGCAGCAGUAGGGAAUCUUCCGCAAUGGACGAAAGUCUGACGGAGCGACGGCGGGGGAGUGACGAAGGCUGUCGGGUCGUAAAACUCUGUUGUUAGGGAAGAACAAGUGCUAGUUGAAUAAGCUGGCACCUUGACGGUACCUAACCAGAAAGCCACGGCUAACUACGUGCCAGCCGCCGCGGUAA